GUAGGUGGCAAGCGUUGUCCGGAAUUAUUGGGCGUAAAGCGCGCGCAGGUGGUUCUUUAAGCCUGAUGUGAAAGCCCCCGGGCUCAACCGGGGAGGGUCAUUGGAAACUGGGGAACUUGAGUGCAGGAGAGGAAAGUGGAAUUCCACGUGUAGCGGUGAAAUGCGUAGAUAUGUGGAGGAACACCAGUGGCGAAGGCGACUUUCUGGCCUGUAACUGACACUGAGGCGCGAAAGCGUGGGGAGCAAACAGGAUUAGAUACCCUGGUAGUCCACGCCGUAAACGAUGAGUGCUAAGUGUUGGGGGGUUUCCGCCCCUCAGUGCUGCAGCUAACGCAUUAAGCACUCCGCCUGGGGAGUACGGUCGCAAAGACUG
rnacentral:rRNA from 1 species